UACGUAGGGUGCAAGCGUUAAUCGGAAUUACUGGGCGUAAAGCGUGCGCAGGCGGUUAUGUAAGACAGGUGUGAAAUCCCCGGGCUUAACCUGGGAACUGCAUUUGUGACUGCAUAGCUAGAGUACGGUAGAGGGGGAUGGAAUUCCGGCGUGUAGCAGUGAAAUGCGUAGAUAUGCGGAGGAACACCGAUGGCGAAGGCAAUCCCCCUGGACCUGUACUGACGCUCAUGCACGAAAGCGUGGGGAGCAAACAGG
rnacentral:rRNA from 1 species